rnacentral:rRNA from 1 species
CCUUUGUACACACCGCCCGUCGCUACUACCGAUUGAAUGGUUUAGUGAGACUUCUGGAUUGUCUAGAAUUGCGCUGUUUCAGUGCUUUUUUGGAUGAGAAGUUAGUCAAACUUGAUCAUUUAGAGG